rnacentral:rRNA from 1 species
GACGAACGCUGGCGGCGUGCCUAAUACAUGCAAGUUGAGCGCUGAAGGUUGGUACUUGUACCAACUGGAUGAGCAGCGAACGGGUGAGUAACGCGUGGGGAAUCUGCCUUUGAGCGGGGGACAACAUUUGGAAACGAAUGCUAAUACCGCAUAAAAACUUUAAACACAAGUUUUAAGUUUGAAAGAUGCAAUUGCAUCACUCAAAGAUGAUCCCGCGUUGUAUUAGCUAGUUGGUGAGGUAAAGGCUCACCAAGGCGAUGAUACAUAGCCGACCUGAGAGGGUGAUCGGCCCCAUUGGGACUGAGACACGGCCCCAACUCCCUAGGGGGGCAGCAGUAGGGAAUCUUCGGCAAUGGAGGAAAGUCUGACCGGGCCACGCCGCGUGAGUGAAGAAGGUUUUCGGAUCGUAAAACUCUGUUGGUAGAGAAGAACGUUGGUUAGAGUGGAAAGCUCAUCAAGUGACGGUAACUACCCAGAAAGGGACGGCUAACUACGUG